rnacentral:rRNA from 1 species
UACGGGGGGGGCAAGCGUUGUUCGGAAUUACUGGGCGUAAAGGGCUCGUAGGCGGCCAACUAAGUCGGACGUGAAAUCCCCAGGCUCAACCUGGGAACUGCGUCCGAUACUGGAUGGCUUGAAUUCGGGGGAGGGAUGCAGAAUUCCAGGUGUAGCGGUGAAAUGCGUAGAUAUCUGGAGGAAUACCGGUGGCGAAGGCGGCAUCCUGGACUGCAACUGACACUGAGGAACGAAAGCCAGGGGAGCAAACGGG